UACCGCGGCUGCUGGCACGUAGUUAGCCGGGGCUUCCUCCUAAGUUACCGUCACUUCUUCUUCUCUUAGGACAGAGCUUUACGACUCGAAAGCCUUCUUCGCUCACGCGGCGUCGCUGCAUCAGAGUUUCCUCCAUUGUGCAAUAUUCCCCACUGCUGCCUCCCGUAGGAGUCUGGACCGUGUCUCAGUUCCAGUGUGGCCGUUCACCCUCUCAGGCCGGCUACCCAUCGUCGCCUUGGUGAGCUUUUAUCUCACCAACUAGCUAAUGGGACGCGAACUCGUCCUGCACCGUUAAAAACUUUAAUAUAUCUAUCAUUCGAUUAAUAUACUUCAUAUGGUAUUAAUCCCGGUUUCCCGAGGCUAUCCCUUUGUGCAGGGUUGAUUAUUCACGCGUUACUCACCCGUCUGCCGCUUUCCAUCUUCCGUUUCACCGAAGUUUCACUUCCGACUUCUCGCUCGACUUGCAUGUGUUAGGCACGCCGCCAGCGUUAAUCCUGAGCCAGGAUCAAACUC
rnacentral:rRNA from 1 species